rnacentral:rRNA from 1 species
AGUCGAACGGGGUGAAGGGAGCUUGCUCCCUAAGCCUAGUGGCGGACGGGUGAGUAACGCGUGAGUAACCUGCCUUUCAGAGGGGGAUAACAUUCUGAAAAGGAUGCUAAUACCGCAUAACGUCAGAGCAUCGCAUGGUGCAUUGACCAAAGGAGCAAUCCGCUGAGAGAUGGACUCGCGUCCGAUUAGCUAGUUGGCGGGGUAAAGGCCCACCAAGGCGACGAUCGGUAGCCGGACUGAGAGGUUGACCGGCCACAUUGGGACUGAGACACGGCCCAGACUCCUACGGGAGGCAGCAGUGGGGGAUAUUGCACAAUGGGGGAAACCCUGAUGCAGCAACGCCGCGUGAGUGACGAAGGUCUUCGGAUUGUAAAACUCUGUUCUUGGUGAAGAUAAUGACGGUAGCCAAGGAGAAAGCUCCGGCUAACUACGUGCCAGCAGCCGCGGUAAUACGUAGGGAGCAAGCGUUGUCCGGAAUUACUGGGUGUAAAGGGUGCGUAGGCGGCCCUGCAAGUCAGGCGUGAAAACCAUGGGCUCAACCCGUGGACUGCGUUUGAAACUGUGGGGCUUGAGUGAAGUAGAGGUAGGCGGAAUUCCCGGUGUAGCGGUGAAAUGCGUAGAGAUCGGGAGGAACACCAGUGGCGAAGGCGGCCUACUGGGCUUUAACUGACGCUGAGGCACGAAAGCAUGGGUAGCAAACAGGAUUAGAUACCCUGGUAGUCCAUGCCGUAAACGAUGAUUACUAGGUGUGGGGGGUCUGACCCCCUCCGUGCCGGAGUUAACACAAUAAGUAAUCCACCUGGGGAGUACGGCCGCAAGG